rnacentral:rRNA from 1 species
GAUGAACGCUGGCGGCGUGCCUAAUACAUGCAAGUCGAGCGAACGGACGAGAAUCUUGCUUUUCUUAUGUUAGCGGCGGACGGGUGAGUAACACGUGGAUAACCUACCUAUAAGACUGGGAUAACUUCGGGAAACCGGAGCUAAUACCGGAUAAUAUUUUGAACCGCAUGGUUCAAAAGUGAAAGACGGUCUUGCUGUCACUUAUAGAUGGAUCCUCGCUGCAUUAGCUAGUUGGUAAGGUAACGGCUUACCAAGGCAACGAUGCAUAGCCGACCUGAGAGGAUGAUCGGCCACACUGGAACUGAGACACGGUCCAGACUCCUACGGGAGGCAGCAGUAGGGAAUCUUCCGCAAUGGGCGAAAGCCUGACGGAGCAACGCCGCGUGAGUGAUGAAGGUCUUCGGAUCGUAAAACUCUGUUAUUAGGGAAGAACAUAUGUGUAAGUAACUGUGCACAUCUUGACGGUACCUAAUCAGAAAGCCACGGCUAACUACGUG